UGAAUACGAGACGCUACGGCGUCGAAGCAGUCUAUGUCAUACUUCCAAGAAAAGCUUGCACUGUCAUAAACAAAUAAUGCCUGUACCAUAACCGACACAGGUGGGUAGGUAGAGUAUACUAAGGGGCGCGAGAUAACUCUCUCUAAGGAACUCGGCAAAAUGACUCCGUAACUUCGGGAGAAGGAGUGCCUUAUUUAUAAGGUUGCAAUAACAAGAUCCAAGCAACUGUUUAUCAAAAACACAGGUCUCCGCUAAGUCGUAAGACGAUGUAUGGGGGCUGACGCCUGCCCAGUGCCAGAAGGUUAAAGAAGUUGGUUAGCAUUAGCGAAGCUGAUAACUGAAGCCCUGGUGAACGGCGGCCGUAACAAUAACGGUCCUAAGGUAGCGAAAUUCCUUGUCGGGUAAGUUCCGACCCGCACGAAAGGCGUAAUGAUUUGGAUACUGUCUCAGAGAGGGGCUCGGUGAAAUAGACUUGUCUGUGAAGAUGCGGACUACCUGCACCAGGACAGAAAGACCCUAUGAAGCUUUACUGUAACUUGAAAUUGAAAUUGGACUUUAUUUGCGCAGUAUAGGUGGGAGGCAUUGAUAAUAUUCUUGCGGGAAUGUUGGAGCCAUCAGUGAGAUACCACUCUUGUAAUGUUAGAUUUCUAACUUUGGAUCAUUAUCUGGUCAAAGGACAGUUUCAGGCGGGCAGUUUGACUGGGGCGGUCGCCUCCUAAAUGGUAACGGAGGCGCACAAAGGUUUCCUCUGAACGGGUAGAAAUCGUAUCUAGAGUGUAAAGGCAUAAGGAAGCUUGACUGUGAGACCUACAAGUCGAGCAGGGACGAAAGUCGGUCUUAGUGAUCUGACGGUGCUGAGUGGAAAGGCCGUCACUCAACGGAUAAAAGUUACUCUAAGGAUAACAGGCUGAUCUCCCCCAAGAGUUCACAUCGACGGGGAGGUUUGGCACCUCGAUGUCGGCUCAUCGCAUCCUGGGGCGGUAGUAGUCCCAAGGGUUGGGCUGUUCGCCCAUGAAAGCGGUACGCGAGCUGGGUUCAGAACGUCGUGAGACAGUUCGGUCCAUAUCCGGUGUAGGCGUUAGAAUAUUGAGAGGAGCCUUCUUUAGUACGAGAGGACCGAGAAGGACAUACCUCUGGUGUACCAGUUAUCGUGCCAACGGUAAACGCUGGGUAGCUAUGUAUGGAGAGGAUAACCGCUGAAAGCAUCUAAGUGGGAAGCCCACCUCAAGAUAAGUAUUCUCA
rnacentral:rRNA from 1 species